rnacentral:rRNA from 1 species
UACGUAGGGUGCGAGCGUUAAUCGGAAUUACUGGGCGUAAAGCGUGCGCAGGCGGUUUUGUAAGCCAGAUGUGAAAGCCCCGGGCUUAACCUGGGAAUGGCAUUUGGGACUGCAAGGCUUGAGUGCGGCAGAGGAGACUGGAAUUCCUGGUGUAGCAGUGAAAUGCGUAGAUAUCAGGAGGAAUACCGAUGGCGAAGGCAGGUCUCUGGGCUGACACUGACGCUCAUGCACGAAAGCGUGGGGAGCAAACG